GACGAACGCUGGUGGCGUGCUUAACACAUGCAAGUCGAACGGAAAGGCCCCUUUGGGGGUCCUCGAGUGGCGAACGGGUGAGUAACACGUGAGUAACCUGCCCUUGACUUCGGGAUAACUUCAGGAAACUGGGGCUAAUACCGGAUAGGAAUCCUUGCUGCAUGGUGGGGGUUGGAAAGCUUCGGCGGUUUUGGAUGGACUCGCGGCUUAUCAGCUUGUUGGUGGGGUAGUGGCUUACCAAGGCUUUGACGGGUAGCCGGCCUGAGAGGGCGACCGGCCACAUUGGGACUGAGAUACGGCCCAGACUCCUACGGGAGGCAGCAGUGGGGAAUAUUGCACAAUGGGCGGAAGCCUGAUGCAGCAACGCCGCGUGCGGGAUGACGGCCUUCGGGUUGUAAACCGCUUUCAGCAGGGGCGAAGCUUGUGGUGACGGUACCUGCAGAAGAAGCACCGGCUAACUACGUG
rnacentral:rRNA from 1 species